AGAGUUUGAUCAUGGCUCAGAUUGAACGCUGGCGGCAUGCUUUACACGUGCAAGUCGAAUGGUAACAGGUCUUCGGAUGCUGACGAGUGGCGAACGGGUGAGUAAAACAUCGGAACGUGCCUGGUAGUGGGGGACAACUGCUCGAAAGAGCAGCUAAUACCGCAUGACAUCCAAGGAUAAAAGCAGGGGACCUUCGGGCCUUGUGCUACCAGAGCGGCCGAUGGCAGAUUAGGUAGUUGGUGAGGUAAAGGCUCACCAAGCCUGCGAUCAGUAGCUGGUCUGAGAGGACGACCAGCCACACUGGGACUGAGACACGGCCCAGACUCCUACGGGAGGCAGCAGUGGGGAAUUUUGGACAAUGGGCGCAAGCCUGAUCCAGCAAUGCCGCGUGCAGGACGAAGGCCUUCGGGUUGUAAACUGCUUUUGUACAGAACGAAAAGGACUGGGUUAAUACCCUGGUCAUAUGACGGUACUGAAAGAAUAAGCACCGGCUAACUACGUGCCAGCAGCCGCGGUAAUA
rnacentral:rRNA from 1 species